CUUGACACGCCGUGCGCGGAGCCACACGCGGUUAAACAAAAAAACAAAGAAGAGUUCUGCACUCAUUGGCCGUCACUUGCAGCCAGCGCUGCUCGGCUCGCGCUGCAGCUCUUCCCGCCGCCGCCUGAGGGGAAGGUGCCCGCUGCGCCCGGCCCGGCACCGCCGAGAAGCCCCAGUGGGCCGACAGCGCUUCGGAGCUCCUUCGCUGCUCGCUGGGCAGUAUUUUUAGUCGCUGACCCAGUUCGCCCGCUCUCUACCUGCACUUUUCGCCGCCAUCUGCGCGGCACGGUGCUGCCGGGCCCCCUCCGCGCCCCCGCCGACAGAAGCACCGCCCAGGGGCGGCCCGGAGCCAGGUGAGCUGAGCUGAGCGGAGCGGGGGGCGUCAGGUGCGGCCGGAGGGCGGCGCGGGGCCUCCCGCGGUACGGGACGGCCCAGAAGGGAGCGGCGGAGCGUUGCGGGGUGCGCUGUGAGGUGGGCGGGCGCCGCGCUGCUCGGGUCGGGCUUCUCUUCUGAGGGAGCACCCGAGUGCAGGAGGUGACAUCCGAGAGCCGGUGCAAGUACUUCAGGAUUCUGCAAUUAGGGUGACG
rnacentral:lncRNA from 1 species